UGAACGCUGGCGGUGUGCUUAAUACAUGCAAGUCGAACGAGGAGCUCUUGUCUUCGGAUGAGGGAUUUCCUAGUGGCGAACGGGUGAGUAACGCGUUGGUGACCUGCCCCGAAGAAGGGGAUAACAGUUCGAAAGGACUGCUAAUACCCUAUGUUAUCAGUUGGAUUAGAUGCCUUCUGAUUAAAGGAGUAAUCCGCUUUGGGAGGGACCUGCGUCCCAUCAGCUAGUUGGUAGGGUAAUGGCCUACCAAGGCAAUGACGGGUAGGGGACCUGAGAGGGUGGCCCCCCACAAUGGCACUGAAACACGGGCCAUACACCUACGGGUGGCAGCAGUAGGGAAUAUUGGACAAUGGGCGAAAGCCUGAUCCAGCAACACCGCGUGCACGAUGACGGCCUUCGGGUUGUAAAGUGCUUUUAGAGGAGAUGAGAAAGGACAGUAUCCUCUGAAUAAGCCUCGGCGAACUAC
rnacentral:rRNA from 1 species